rnacentral:rRNA from 1 species
GCAAGUCGAACGCCUUCUUUCCUUCCCGAAGUUGCUUGCACUCAAUUUGGAAAGAAGGAAGUGGCGGAAACGGGUGAGUAACACGUGGGGUAACCCCUACCCAUCAGAAGGGGGAUAACACUUGGGAAACAGGUGGCUAAUACCGGCAUAACAGUUUAUGCCGCAUGGGCAUAAGAGGUGAAAGGCGCUUUCGGGUGUCGGCUGAUGGGGAUGGACCCGCCGGUGCAUUUAGCUAGUUGGGGUGAGGUAACGGCUCACCCAAGGCCACGGAUGCAUAGCCGACCCUGAGAGGGGUGAUCGGCCACACUGGGGACUGAGACACGGCCCCAGAUCCUACGGGAGGCAGCAGUAGGGAAUCUUCGGCAAUGGACGAAAGUCUGACCGAGCAACGCCGCGUGAGUGAAGAAGGUUUUCGGAUCGUAAAACUCUGUUGUUAGAGAAGAACAAGGACGUUAGUAACUGAACGUCCCCUGACGGUAUCUAACCAGAAAGCCACGGCUAACUACGUGCCAGCAGCCGCGGUAAUACGUAGGUGGCAAGCGUUGUCCGGAUUUAUUGGGCGUAAAGCGAGCGCAGGCGGUUUCUUAAGUCUGAUGUGAAAGCCCCCGGCUCAACCGGGGAGGGUCAUUGGAAACUGGGAGACUUGAGUGCAGAAGAGGAGAGUGGAAUUCCAUGUGUAGCGGUGAAAUGCGUAGAUAUAUGGAGGAACACCAGUGGCGAAGGCGGCUCUCUGGUCUGUAACUGACGCUGAGGCUCGAAAGCGUGGGGAGCAAACAGGAUUAGAUACCCUGGUAGUCCACGCCGUAAACGAUGAGUGCUAAGUGUUGGAGGGUUUCCGCCCUUCAGUGCUGCAGCAAACGCAUUAAGCACUCCGCCUGGGGAGUACGACCGCAAGGUUGAAACUCAAAGGAAUUGACGGGGGCCCGCACAAGCGGUGGAGCAUGUGGUUUAAUUCGAAGCAACGCGAAGAACCUUACCAGGUCUUGACAUCCUUUGACCACUCUAGAGAUAGAGCUUUCCCUUCGGGGACAAAGUGACAGGUGGUGCAUGGUUGUCGUCAGCUCGUGUCGUGAGAUGUUGGGUUAAGUCCCGCAACGAGCGCAACCCUUAUUGUUAGUUGCCAUCAUUUAGUUGGGCACUCUAGCGAGACUGCCGGUGACAAACCGGAGGAAGGUGGGGAUGACGUCAAAUCAUCAUGCCCCUUAUGACCUGGGCUACACACGUGCUACAAUGGGAAGUACAACGAGUCGCUAGACCGCGAGGUCAUGCAAAUCUCUUAAAGCUUCUCUCAGUUCGGAUUGCAGGCUGCAACUCGCCUGCAUGAAGCCGGAAUCGCUAGUAAUCGCGGAUCAGCACGCCGCGGUGAAUACGUUCCCGGGCCUUGUACACACCGCCCGUCACACCACGAGAGUUUGUAACACCCGAAGUCGGUGAGGUAACC